AAGCUGAUUUUUUGCUUUCUAAUUGAAACAUAUAUGUUCAUCGAAGUUAUAGCUUGUCUACUUAAUGAUAUUACUUGCUUUAUGUUCCCACUUAGUUGUUCAAGACUUUAGGAGAGUACAUAUCAUUGGCACAUAGAUAGUUUAUCCUUUUAGUCUAGCUUACAUCCUGAUUUCUUGUAAAUUUGAGCCUCUCUUUCUGUUACUGCAUCAAACACUUCCACCUCCCCGUCCGCCUUGUAUAUUGCAGCUGCUGUUAAUGCCUACACAACUACCUAAAACUACCAUUUCACAUUACCAAAAGCAGUACUAGCAAACAGCAGUUGCUCUCCUCACACUGCAUUUGAGGUACUAUUGCUACGCUCAAAAUGACCAAUCCUACGCCACCUGAAUUAGCACAUCAUCUAUUCUAUCUUCACGUCUUCUGUCUUCACCCUUAAUCCCCUAGUUUUCUACUUUUUACAGAGGAUUUUACUUUUUAUAAUUGGUAAGAUGUACUCACCUAUAGAGUAGAGCUCAUUAGCAUGCAUAGUUUUCUACUUGGUCAUAUUUCAUGACAUUAUGACUGCAUAUAUUGAAUGAAAAAGAUUAGGUGCCACUACUUUCAAACUUUAAGUUUGACUUGCUUUCAUACGUAGAUUUAAGGGAAAGGCUGUCAUUUAUAGGACUUCUUCAAUGUCACAACAGAGUUUUGUGCAAGCCGUAUUUGAUCAAGCUUAACGAAAAACGUGAUUUUUAUUUUUCAAUUUCUCAAAGCAAAAUAUCUCUUUAAAUCAUGGAAGAGAAAGAGAAAAUCAGAUAAGAGACAAAGAAAGCAGAAAACAACACAAACCCAGCUAGCAAAAUUGUUUUUUUCUUCUUUUUCAUUAUAAUUUAUAGAGAUUAUACAGUAGGCUAUACAUGGUGAAAAUCCAUUGGGUUAAUCUUUCCAAACCGGGGAUAAUGCAAGCAAUAACUCUCCUAGCUAGUUAUAAGAAACAAUCAUGAAGAGUUGAGAGAAUCACAUAACUCUUUUUGUAUGAUUAACUCUUCGCCUACACUUCCUCCGGAAGAAAAUUGGUACUCGGAUACUAGUGCAACACACCAUCUUACCAACAACUUGCAGAAUUUGAACAUAUCCUCUGAAGAAUACUCUGGACAAGAUCAGAUCCGCAUAGGAUCGCAAGACCAAGCUCUCAGUUCAUCACGGCCAACUUAAGGAUGGUCUUUAUCACCUCCUUCCUCUGCAAGUGUCUUCAUCUCAAUCACAAGCACUCGUUGGUGAGAGGACUUCUCCAUAUAGUUGGCACCACUGUUUGGGACAUCCAGCUCUUUGGACGGUCAACUUUGUUCUACCCAAGUUUCAGCUUCCUGUUUUAUCCAAUGAGGCAUCGGUACCCUGCACUGUCUGUCCGUAGGCAAAGGGUCACCAAUUGCUCUUUUCAGUUUCUUAAACUUCUAUUAGUAAUCCUUUAGACUUGAUUUAUUCAGAUAUCUGGGGUCCUUCCCCAACUAUUUCAAUAAAUGGCAAUCGGUUUUAUGUCUCUUUUGUGGAUACUUUUAGUCAGUUUACUUGGGUUAUUCAGGCUAAAUUUGAUGUCACGCAAGUUUUUCUCAAUUUUCAAUCAAUGGUUGAAUGUCUUCUUAAUGCCAAAAAUAAAAUCUGUUCAAACUGAUUGGGGUGGUGAAUACCAUAUGUAUUAGAUGCUUUGUCCAAAUGUAACGCCACUUGUUCACAUGGUUUGCUGCCUCUUAUUCAUUCACAAUUCUACUUACAGUUGAUCCGAUCUAUGUUUGUGAAAAUUUUAUAUAUUGCAGUGAUUUGAGCUUCCUCGGGACACCCGAGAUGUAAUGUAUAAUUAAUUUUAGCUUCCCUUUCUGUUUCUUCAUUCCCAGAAGAUGCUCGUGCUUUACCUCAACCUCAACCUCAACCCUACAAACCAGGUCAUCACGCAGGGGAUGAGUACCUGAACAAGCAAGAUAGAAAUCUGAUAAAUAAAUUUUUUUGGUGUUUAUCCUCAUAAGAGCCAAAAAUGCUGAAGUUCACGGAUGUGCAGGUUUACUAGGAAUGCAGAACUAGUAGCAUCAGGUUCAGGUGUGGGCAAGAACCUGAAUAGUGUACAACUACAUAAAAGAGGGAGUCUUGAUGACAUAUUAUACCCUUAUCGAAGGCCACCUAAGUAAUGUUGCUCCUUAAUUAUAGUUGCAACGUAGAUUACUAAAUAUUUCCAGAUUUGUAUUGUCCAAUUUUUGCCAACAAUUUAACUUGAAUUAUUGUUGAAGAAAGUCCCAUGACUGAGACCUACAAAAGAUGAAGGGAUGAAUUUAGAAAUUUGGAGCUUUUUUGUUGCUUUGUUUUGCUUGGACAGCUGGGUUUUGCUCGGAAUUCACAGAGACAGCGCGCACAUUUCACAAAGGUUUUGCUUCAGAAUUUGUAUCUCUGAGUUGAGCUCUACAAAUUUUGCUAGUUUCGUCACCUUUUUACCUUCUUCUUGCACAGCCGCAACAUUUCAGAGUAGAAGAGAGAGGGAAUAAAUUACGGAUCCAGCCAUUAUAUAAUAGAAAUGCAAGAACACCGAUCAAAGAGAGAGAAGGGUUGAAAAAACAAGCAAGCUCGUGUGAAUUUGGAUUGGGGACUCAGCAAUGUUGGGCCUUAGGUUUCUCCAUUGAUUAAAGAAGGAAGAUGACUCCACUUGUUUUUUAUCUUUUGUUACAUCUAGACCGUUAAAUAAUUUUAUCACAUCUGGGCCAUUGGUUAAAUGGUUAUUUUUAUAACUUGUGUGUUGUAGUUUACGCAAGCCGGAUACAUAAACAUGUAACUAAGCGCCCAGAUUUGUAUUUUUUAUAUUUUUUUAGAAGUUCAAUUUGUAAGUGCUCUUUACAUUA